AAGGGGAGCAAUCCCUGAGUAAAGUGGCGACCGGGUGAGUAACACGUGACUAACCUACCCUCGAGUGUGGAAUAACAUCGGGAAACCGAUGCUAAUACCGCAUAACAUCGCAAGAUCAAAGGAGCAAUCCGCUUGAGGAGGGGGUCGCGGCUGAUUAGCUAGUUGGCGGGGUAACGGCCCACCAAGGCGAAGAUCGGUAGCCGGCCUGAGAGGGCGCGCGGCCACACUGGAACUGAAACACGGUCCAGACUCCUACGGGAGGCAGCAGUGGGGAAUUUUGCGCAAUGGGGGAAACCCUGACGCAGCAACGCCGCGUGGAGGAUGAAGCCCCUUGGG
rnacentral:rRNA from 1 species